UCGUCACACUAUCAUUAACUGAAUCCAUAGGUUAAUGAGGCGAACCGGGGGAACUGAAACAUCUAAGUACCCCGAGGAAAAGAAAUCAACCGAGAUUCCCCCAGUAGCGGCGAGCGAACGGGGAGGAGCCCAGAGCCUGAAUCAGCAUGUGUGUUAGUGGAAGCGUCUGGAAAGGCGCGCGAUACAGGGUGACAGCCCCGUACACAAAAGCGCAUGUGCUGUGAGCUCGAUGAGUAGGGCGGGACACGUGGUAUCCUGUCUGAAUAUGGGGGGACCAUCCUCCAAGGCUAAAUACUCCUGACUGACCGAUAGUGAACCAGUACCGUGAGGGAAAGGCGAAAAGAACCCCGGCGAGGGGAGUGAAAAAGAACCUGAAACCGUGUACGUACAAGCAGUGGGAGCACAGGUUUACCUGUGUGACUGCGUACCUUUUGUAUAAUGGGUCAGCGACUUAUAUUCUGUAGCAAGGUUAACCGAAUAGGGGAGCCGGAGGGAAACCGAGUCUUAAUUGGGCGUUAAGUUGCAGGGUAUAGACCCGAAACCCGGUGAUCUAGCCAUGGGCAGGUUGAAGGUUGGGUAACACUAACUGGAGGACCGAACCGACUAAUGUUGAAAAAUUAGCGGAUGACCUGUGGCUGGGGGUGAAAGGCCAAUCAAACCGGGAGAUAGCUGGUUCUCCCCGAAAGCUAUUUAGGUAGCGCCUCGUGAAUUCAUCUCCGGGGGUAGAGCACUGUUUCGGCUAGGGGGCCAUCCCGGCUUACCAACCCGAUGCAAACUGCGAAUACCGGAGAAUGUUAUCACGGGAGACACACGGCGGGUGCUAACGUCCGUCGUGAAGAGGGAAACAACCCAGACCGCCAGCUAAGGUCCCAAAGUCAUGGUUAAGUGGGAAACGAUGUGGGAAGGCCCAGACAGCCAGGAUGUUGGCUUAGAAGCAGCCAUCAUUUAAAGAAAGCGUAAUAGCUCACUGGUCGAGUCGGCCUGCGCGGAAGAUGUAACGGGGCUAAACCAUGCACCGAAGCUGCGGCAGCGACGCUUAUGCGUUGUUGGGUAGGGGAGCGUUCUGUAAGCCUGCGAAGGUGGCCUGUGAGGG
rnacentral:rRNA from 1 species